rnacentral:rRNA from 1 species
UACGAAGGGGGCUAGCGUUGUUCGGAAUUACUGGGCGUAAAGGGCGCGUAGGCGGUUUUGUAAGUCAGAUGUGAAAGCCCCGGGCUCAACCCGGGAAUAGCAUUUGAUACUGCGAGGCUUGAGUCCGGGAGAGGAUGGCGGAAUUCCAAGUGUAGAGGUGAAAUUCGUAGAUAUUGGGAAGAACACCGGUGGCGAAGGCGGCCAUCUGGACCGGUACUGACGCUGAGGCGAGAAAGCGUGGGGAGCAAACAGG